UAUUAUGUCGGCCAUGGAAGCACGAGGUGACCUUGGACGAAUCAAAUUGCGGCAGAUUUUGUCCCACAGGCGCUUCAGGACACUAAUCGGCCUCUGAUUGGUUCUUUCGAGUUUUUCGGAUAAUCAUCAUUCAAAAGUGGAUAAGCUCGACCCUAAAUGGAUAAGGAUUAUCGGAAUGUAGAUAAGCAUCGGACCUAACGGAUAAGCUUGAGCCACUAUUCAAUCAUGGCCGUCCAUUCUCUCAUUUCGGCGAAACCUACUAUUUAUCACCGGUCCGCAAGAACAUUGAGACGACAUUCUCCGUCACCAAUAUCUCAAGAGGGUCCGUGAAACAAUUCAAGGCUUGCUUAGGACUAUAAUACGUUCCAUGCCAGAAUUGACCGAGCAUGCCAGCUAUCGUCACUCAUCCGCAUUGUCCAAUCAAUCAUUUUGACCAUACACGACCCACUCUCAUAUUGGACUACCCGAGAUCGAUUUCCCUCGACCCUCUAAGUUUUUCCCGACCCUUUAAGGUUUCCUAAACCAAAACAAAGGUUCCUUAAGCUACACUAGUUCUUGGGGUUUACCGAUAGUCGCAUCGUAGCUAAGCUUGGCCCGUCAGAUGGAGAUUCAUUCUUUUACCCAUGUACUUGAUCCUAUUCAAUGCUCCUUACCCAUGACUUACCACACUAAUUGGCCCGACUGAUCUUGCCUUCCCUUGGCUUGAUCUCGCAUUUUACUCGACAGAAUGCACGUUCGACCGUCCGGGUCAUAGUUAAGGUCCGAGGCAUUAUACAUAUGGUCAUCAUAUGGUUAAUUUUUACACACUGGAGAUAACAAAGAGGAUGAACCAUAUAUAUUGGAGUCUCAAGCAAGAAUGGUAUAUUAUGUACAAGAUCCUUCUUAGAGUGAUUGGAAGAUUGCAGUUCAUAUAUAUUCCGCAUAGAGACAUGUAUGACAUGGGAGAUAUAGAACAACCGAAUGAUGAAUUUGGCCCUCACAACUCCACUAAU